GACGAACGCUGGCGGCGUGCUUAACACAUGCAAGUCGAGCGAUGAAGUUCUUUCGGGAAUGAAUUAGCGGCGGACGGGUGAGUAACACGUGGGUAACCUGCCUCAUAGAGGGGAAUAGCCUUCCGAAAGGAAGAUUAAUACCGCAUAAGAUUGUAGUACCGCAUGGUAUAGCAAUUAAAGGAGUAAUCCGCUAUGAGAUGGACCCGCGUCGCAUUAGCUAGUUGGUGCGGUAACGGCUCACCAAGGCGACGAUGCGUAGCCGACCUGAGAGGGUGAUCGGCCACAUUGGGACUGAGACACGGCCCAGACUCCUACGGGAGGCAGCAGUGGGGAAUAUUGCACAAUGGGGGAAACCCUGAUGCAGCAACGCCGCGUGAGUGAUGACGGUCUUCGGAUUGUAAAGCUCUGUCUUCAGGGACGAUAAUGACGAUACCUGAGGAGGAAGCCACGGCUAACUACGUGCCAGCCGCCGCAGUAAGAC
rnacentral:rRNA from 1 species